rnacentral:rRNA from 1 species
CCCUUAGAUGUUCUGGGCCGCACGCGCGCUACACUGAUGCAUUCAACGAGCCUAUCCUUGACCGACAGGUCCGGGUAAUCUUUGAAUCUGCAUCGUGACGGGGAUAGAUGAUUGCAAUUAUUCAUCAUAAACGAGGAAUGCCUUGUAAGUGCUUUUCAUCACAAAGCGCUGAAUACGUCCCUGCCCUUUGUACACACCGCCCGUCGCUUCUACCGAUUGAAUUAAAUGAUGAAGUUUUCGGAUUUGAACUGAGCAUUUUCAGAGGGAUUUAUUCCUUUGUUAUCAGAUCAACAAAGUCUAUUGAAUCUUUUUAUUUAGAGGAAGAAGAAGUCGUAACA